UCUUGCUGUGAAGGAUAAGGCUAUGGGUAGAGCUAGCAAGCCACCCACCCAGCCCUGCCUCAGUGAUGCUCUGGGCAGUACCCUGGGGAAGCUCCCUGUCCACCCCCAGAAGCAGAGAAGAAAAGCAUUGAUUCUGCAGACCUUCUUGGCUCACAUCCCUGAAGCCUUCGAGAAGUUGGCAAAGCUGAUUUGGAGGAGAGGAACAAGCUCCUCAUCUUCUUGCUCAACCCCUACUGGCUCACCAGGAUGCAGUAACUAUGGCCUCUCUUGGGAGCAUUUCCUCCCUUCAAUUUUAGGUCCUAACUGGGCUAAACUCCCAAACCUCAGCUGCUUCUUGCGGGUCUAAAUGAGACAUGGUCCCUAGUGCAGCAUCUACCUGUCUAGUGAUGUCCUACCUCUCCUUUGUCAGGGCAGCUUCCAAAAUGUAAAGAUGAGCCCUUAGAUGGCAGGAGGGACUGAACUGGGGACCCACACUGCAAUCUAAAGAAGGAACCAGGGACCAAGUGUAAGGAAGGGCAAACAAAAAACCUCAGGGGAGGGGCACAGGCAGAAGCAGAGCAUCCCCCCCCCAAAACAAAGAGGGCAGGGUGAAGCUCACUGCAGGUUCUCAGCUGAGGACAGAAGCUCCAGUAGAAUUCUGUCUGGAGCCAGAAUCAGUGUCGAGCUUUCCUUCAAGAACCUUCUCUUCUGGCUGCAGAGAGGAGAAAAAUGGGGCCGGUGGGUACCUUUGGAUUCCAUGGUCCAGACCAGGACACUGGGAGUGCUCAGGCUUCUCAGGCUGUUGGUUUUUGUCUGCUUAUGUAUGUAUGUAUGUAUGUAUGUAUGUAUGUAUGUAUGUAUGUACGUACGUAUAUACCUACAUACACAUACAUGUAUGUGUGUAUGUAUGCAUGCAUGCAUAUAUUUAUAGAAUCUUAUGUAGCCCCAGUUGGCCUUCAACUCACUAUGUAAGUGAAGUUGCUCUUGAACUCCAGAUCCUCAUGUCUCUGCCUCCUGAGUGCUGGGAUUACAGCAGAUCCAAGGCACAUAUGGAAUAUUCUGCUUGGCACCUCAUCCUUGACAUCACCACCGACUGGAUUGCUACUGUUGUAUUCUCUCAGAGGCUCAGUACCCUAAGGUUCCCAGUUGGACUUCCAAUACUGCUGGUGCCUGCCAAGUGAUUCCCUAAGGGAGAAAUAGGCAAAGGGAGAGUGCAAACACAGUCCCCCACUACCACAAAUUAUGCAGCUGAGUUUCCCGUAUUUGGGGAAAUCGCAGGGAUCAGCACAUCCGGAGUGCAAUGGAUAAGCGUCGCCCUGGGAAACCCACCUUUGUGAUCAUGGUAUCUCCCCUGCCAGGCUGCAGUCUCCAUGCCUUCCAUCAGCAGAGAAAACAUCACAGUGCCUCAGUCAAGGAGAAGCAGGGGCUGAGCCUGUGUUUGACUAGCAGCCAGCCCCCUGCCCAGGCCCCACAUCAUCAGCAGACGGCAGGGCGUGGGGGGAGUGGAAAGCAGCUGGGUGGCCCCUCCCAGGCUGCUGUCUGCUUUCUUUUGCCCCCUUGGCAAGAGGGGAAGAGGAAAAAAGAAUAAUUAAACCCAAACGUUUUGGUAA